CCCUGAGCCUGCCUGCCGUCCUGUACCUUGGUCUCUGUUCUGGAUGAUCGACCCCUGCCUGACCUGACCCUGAGCCUGCCUGCCGUCCUGUACCUUGGUCUCUGUUCUGGAUGAUCGACCCCUGCCUGACCUGACCCUGAGCCUGCCUGCCGUCCUGUACCUUGGUCUCUGUUCUGGAUGAUCGACCCCUGCCUGACCUGUCGUUUGCCUGCUCCUGUGGUUACAAUAAACAUUAUUACUUUGCAAUACAUUUCAACUCUAUAUCUGACAUGAUACAGGUGUCUUCUGUUGUUAAACCCAUAACCAUGUGUGUGAGGUGGAUACUGUUGUUAAACCCAUAACCAUGUGUGUGAGGUGGAUACUGUUGUUAAACCCAUAACCAUGUGUGUGAGGUGGAUACUGUUGUUAAACCCAUAACCAUGUGUGUGAGGUGGAUACUGUUGUUAAACCCAUAACCAUGUGUGUGAGGUAGAUACUGUUGUUAAACCCAUAACCAUGUGUGUGAGGUGGAUAAUGUUGUUAAACCCAUAACCAUGUGUGUGAGGUGGAUACUGUUGUUAAACCCAUAACCAUGUGUGUGAGGUAGAUACUGUUGUUAAACCCAUAACCAUGUGUGUGAGGUGGAUACUGUUGUUAAACCCAUAACCAUGUGUGUGAGGUGGAUACUGUUGUUAAACCCAUAACCAUGUGUGUGAGGUAGAUACUGUUGUUAAACCCAUAACCAUGUGUGUGAGGUGGAUAAUGUUGUUAAACCCAUAACCAUGUGUGUGAGGUGGAUAUUUUGUUACAAAGUAGAUUUGUUUAAGACGACCAAGAAAGAGUCUGUGUGACCCUGGUUUAGCCCACUGCAGUAAAAGGUUAAUAAAGACGGUGGAAAGAUGCUCACAUCUCAACAUGAACAACCUCAAAUGUAAUAUCUGAAAGCAACUUUCUGUUUCCCAAAGAAUUCAACCUCAACUUUGUAGGAGACCGGACACUGAACCACUGUGAUCACCUCUAGAGCCUGUCCCUCAGCUUUGUAGGAGACUGGACACUGAACCACUGUGAUCACCUCUAGAGCCUGUCCCUCAGCUUUGUAGGAGACCGGACACUGAACCACUGUGAUCACCUCUAGAGCUUGUCCCUCAGCUUUGUAUGAGACCGGACACUGAACCACUGUGAUCACCUCUAGAGCCUGUCCCUCAGCUUUGUAGGAGACCGGACACUGCACCACUGUGAUCACCUCUAGAGCUUGUCCCUCAGCUUUGUAGGAGACUGGACACUGAACCACUGUGAUCACCUCUAGAGCCUGUCCCUCAGCUUUGUAGGAGACCGGACACUGAACCACUGUGAUCACCUCUAGAGCCUGUCCCUCAGCUUUGUAGGAGACCGGACUCUGAACCUCUGUGAUCACCUCUAGAGCCUGUCCCUCAGCUUUGCUAACUUAACAGUUCUGUUCUAGUACAGAGGUGGGGACCCUCACCAUAGACAGAGCUCAGACUGAGGCCCUCUGAAUGAUUCUGACAACAACAGUAUGGAUUAAGUGAAACACUUGUUCAGCAAAACUAUGAAUGAACGCUCAGGAAACCCCUGUUGAGUGAACUUGAAUAACAUCCAUUCAUUCAACUUGAAUGUGUCUGCGGAUAGGACCACUAUACAGAACCAGGCCUGACAGGGGUGUUAAAUGACCACUAUACAGAACCAGGCCUGACAGGGGUGUUAAAUUACCACUAUACAGAACCAGGCCUGACAGGGAUGUUAAAUGACCACUAUACAGAACCAGGCCUGACAGGGGUGUUAAAUUACCACUAUACAGAACCAGGCCUGACAGGGGUGUUAAAUUACCACUAUACAGAACCAGGCCUGACAGGGGUGUUACAUUACCACUAUACAGAACCAGGCCUGACAGGGGUGUUAAAUUACCACCAUACAGAACCAGGCCUGACAGGGGUCAACAGGGCUGUGUUAAAUGACUACUAUAUAGAACCAGGCCUGACAGGGGUCAACAGGGCUGUGUUAAAUGACUACUAUACAGAACCAGGCCUGACAGGGGUGUUAAAUGACCACUAUACAGAACCAGGCCUGACAGGGGUGUGUUAAAUUACUACUAUACAGAACCAGGCCUGACAGGGGUGUGUUAAAUGACCACUAUACAGAACCAGGCCUGACAGGGCUGUGUUAAAUGACUACUAUACAGAACCAGGCCUGACAGGGCUGUGUUAAAUGACUACCAUACAGAACCAGGCCUGACAGGGGUCAACAGGGCUGUGUUAAAUGACUACCAUACAGAACCAGGCCUGACAGGGGUCAACAGGGCUGUGUUAAAUGACUACUAUACAGAACCAGGCCUGACAGGGGUCAACAGGGCUGUGUUAAAUGACUACCAUACAGAACCAGGCCUGACAGGGGUCAACAGGGCUGUGUUAAAUGACUACUAUACAGAACCAGGCCUGACAGGGGUCAACAGGGCUGUGUUAAAUGACUACCAUACAGAACCAGGCCUGACAGGGGUCAACAGGGCUGUGUUAAAUGACUACCAUACAGAACCAGGCCUGACAGGGGUCAACAGGGCUGUGUUAAAUGACUACCAUACAGAACCAGGCCUGACAGGGGUCAACAGGGCUGUGUUAAAUGACUACCAUACAGAACCAGGCCUGACAGGGGUCAACAGGGCUGUGUUAAAUGACUACUAUACAGAACCAGGCCUGACAGGGCUGUGUUAAAUGACUACCAUACAGAACCAGGCCUGACAGGGGUCAACAGGGCUGUGUUAAAUGACUACCAUACAGAACCAGGCCUGACAGGGGUCAACAGGGCUGUGUUAAAUGACUACCAUACAGAACCAGGCCUGACAGGGGUCAACAGGGCUGUGUUAAAUGACUACUAUACAGAACCAGGCCUGACAGGGGUCAACAGGGCUGUGUUAAAUGACUACUAUACAGAACCAGGCCUGACAGGGCUGUGUUAAAUGACUACCAUACAGAACCAGGCCUGACAGGGGUCAACAGGGCUGUGUUAAAUGACUACCAUACAGAACCAGGCCUGACAGGGGUCAACAGGGCUGUGUUAAAUGACUACUAUACAGAACCAGGCCUGACAGGGCUGUGUUAAAUGACUACCAUACAGAACCAGGCCUGACAGGGGUCAACAGGGCUGUGUUAAAUGACUACCAUACAGAACCAGGCCUGACAGGGGUCAACAGGGCUGUGUUAAAUGACUACUAUACAGAACCAGGCCUGACAGGGGUCAACGGGGCUGUGUUAAAUGACUACUAUACAGAACCAGGCCUGACAGGGGUCAACGGGGCUGUGUUAAAUGACUACUAUACAGAACCAGGCCUGACAGGGCUGUGUUAAAUGACUACUAUACAGAACCAGGCCUGACAGGGGUCAACAGGGCUGUGUUAAAUGACUACUAUACAGAACCAGGCCUGACAGGGGUCAACAGGGCUGUGUUAAAUGACUACUAUACAGAACCAGGCCUGACAGGGGUGUUAAAUGACUACUAUACAGAACCAGGCCUGACAGGGGUGUUAAAUGACCACUAUACAGAACCAGGCCUGACAGGGCUGUGUUAAAUGACUACUAUACAGAACCAGGCCUGACAGGGGUCAACAGGGCUGUGUUAAAGGGGCAAUCAGCAGAUGCUACAUCCACUUUUGGACUCAGAAAUGAAUGAUAUGUACCCAUUGAUUCUUGAAGAAUGUAACUUAUAAAUGCCUCAUGAGCUCAGUUUAACUGUCGUACCCCAUCAGAACCCAAAAUAUAAGCCUGUUUUACUACACUGUUUGUAAACCAAGCACAUUUAAAUAACCACUAUAUAGCCUGGUUAAAUGUAAGCCCUUGCAUGGCUUUAAACAGUGGUUCUGAAAGAAGACCUAUGAAGUAACAACUGGUGUGGCAUAUCUUGUUUUAUUACAUAGGAACAAUGAACCUGCGUUUUUAUCAUAAAUGUCAA